rnacentral:lncRNA from 1 species
AGACAGGUUUUUUGACCCGGCCUUUAUUUGGGAGAUACUAAAACUGAGAAAAGGAAAAUGUGACCGAGACCUGGUAUCUGAGCUACCUACAUAUCCUUGGCUAUAAAAGAAUCAGGCGAUGUGUAGUUUAGAGGUGAGUGAGAUAAUGGAGUAUGCCGAGGUGGAGAGCCAGUCGAGGUGCCGUUCCACCGUGGUUCCAAUCUGUUGUCUUGUUAUUACAUCAAAAUCAAAAGAAAUGAAAAGGGGUAACUAAGCCUAUCAACUACAAGUGACAAGAUUCCUAUCUAUAUCUUCAAACUUGAUCUUGCAGCUCUUGUUUCCAUGUUGACUUGUAUUCUCCCGGUGGAAUGCCCUUGUUGCUACCUUAAAUGAUAAUCUGAGAUGUUUUCCCUUUCUCCAGGUGGACGCCUGACUACUGAACUGUAUUUUGAGAUGUUCCCCCUUUCUCCACGUGGACACCUGACUACUGAACUCGAAUUGUAUUUUGGAUGUUUCUCAUUUGUCUAGGUGGGCACCUAACUGCUGAACUAGAAUUCCCAUGCUUUCUAGGCGGGCUCGUGAUUGCUAAACUUGAAUGUAUUCCCUGCUCUCCAGGCGGCUCCUGAUUGCUGACUUGAAAUGUAUUCCCUACUCUCCAGGCGGGCUCUUAAUUGCUGACUUGAAAUGUAUUCCCUGCUCUCCAUACGAGCUCCUGAUUGCUGACCUGAAAUGUAUUUGCUACUCUCCAUACGGGCUUCUGAUUGGUGAAAGUAUUCCCUUGUUCUCCAGGCGGGCUCCUGAUUUCAACAAAAAUAGACAAAAUAAAGAAAAUUUCCUGCCCCAGUUUGGUGGCUGGGCACAGAUGUGAGUGUAAAACAUAAUCAUGUUACAAAAUAUCAGUAAGAAUUUGAAAGCUAAAACUUGAAUUGUACUUCCUCGUUCUCCAGGUGGGCUCCUGAUUGCUGAAACUUGAAUGUAUUCCCUGCUCUCCAGGCGGGCUCUUGAUUGCUAAACUAAAAUGUAUUCCCUACUCUCCUGGCAGGCACUUAACUGCUGACUUGAAAUGUAUUCCCUGCUCUCCAGGUGGGCUCCUGACUGUUGACUUGAAAUGUAUUCCCUGCUCUCCGGGCAGGCUUUUGACUGCUGACUUGAAUGUAUUCCAUGCUCUCCAUGCGGGCUCCUAAUUGCUGACUUGAAAUGUAUUCCUUACUCUCCAUAUGGGCACCUGACUGCUCACUUCAAAUGUAUUCCCUUGUUCUCUAGGUGGGAUCCUAAUUUCAACAAAAUAGACAAACAAAGAAAAUUUUCUGCCCCAGUUUGGUGGCUAGGCGCAUCAUGUCACCAAAUAUUACUAAAAAUUUGAAAGCCAAAACUUGAAUUUUACUUCCCUUGUUCUCUAGGAGGGCGCCUGAUUGCUGAAAUUGAAAUGUAUUCCCUUAUUAUCCAGGUGGCCUACUAAUUUCUAAACUUUAAAUGUAUUCCCUUGUUCUACAGGUGAGCUCCUGAUUGCUGCACUUGAAAUCUAUUCCCGUUUUCUCUAGGUGGGCUCCUGAUUUAAAAAAAAUAGACAAACAAAGAAAAUUUUCUGCCCCAGUUUGGUGGUUGGGCGCAUCAUGUUACCAAACAUUAUUAAUAAUUUGAAAGCUAAAACUUGAAUUAUACUUCCCUCGUUCUCGAGGUGGGCUCCUGAUUUCUGAACUUGAAAUUUAUUCCCUUGUUCUCCAGGUGGGCUCCUGAUAGCUUAAACUUGAAACGUAUUCCCUUGUUCUCCAGGUGGCUCCUGAAUUCAACAAAAAUAGACAAAACAAAGAAAAUGUUAUGCCCCUGUAUCAAUCAAAGAAAAAUCUUGUCAGUUUAAAAUAUGGUGGUUGGUUUGUGGCCUUGACUUUGAGGGAGGUUGCUCCUUCAUUUCCCAUGAUCACUGAUUUCCAACUCGAAGACUUGAUUGUUUAUUGGCUAACCCCUUUUCUAUGUCAGCUUUAUCACUAAAAAUACCUCUUCUCCAUUCAGAACCAAUACCAUCUAUCUGCUGCAUCGCUCAUACUGACAUUUACCAAACCUUUAUGUUUCGCAUGAACUCCAAAGCAUAUUGAUUGUUACCAACUCAGCGCAUGUUCUUCUUUCCUGAUUUAAAUCACUAGCCUUGACCUUGAGGUCUGUUGCUCCUUCAUUGCCAUGAUAACUUUGACUUCUUCUUGGAAGACCUUGCUUGUCACUAGUUAACCACUUUCUUUGUCAAUCUUAUAAACAGGAAAUACCUUUAAUUCGUUCACUAAACACCCUCCAUCUCUUGAAUUGUUCAUGAAUUGAUGUGUACCUAACCUUUGUAUUUCACAAGGAUCCCAAAGCAUGUCCAUUGUUACCAGCUCAGUGCGCUUGUUAUUCUUUCCUGACUUAUAACACUUUGAUGUGCUAGCCAAAUCCCGUUUUGCACAAUUGGAAAGGUGGUGGCAAACUUUGAACUCGUUUCUCACUUGUUUUGACCAAACAUUCUUAGGAAGGGGAAGUAAGCAAGACACAAGGAACAGAGUAAAAGACAAAGGAAAUAGAUGAUUCCUAACAAGCAAACUACAAAGUAGAAACCUAUCAGAUAUGGAUACUAACUCUAAUGACCAUGACAUGCACCCGUGGCCUAUUCUGUCAAGCAAGUCUGAUGUUCAAAUCUUGUUGUACCUUUAAAUCGUGAAACUGGGUUUCAAUGCUCUGAUUAUUCAAUCUGAUGCACAAUACUUAUUCGACUUGUAGUGCCUGAAGAGUUUUCACUAUCAAGCCUCUCUCAUUUUGGUCUUUCUCUCAACUCACCAUUGCCUUAUGGUGCCUGUGAAGGUUUUCACCAAUAAGACUCCAUUUUUUAUAUCUCUCAGCUUUCAUCGCCUUGCGGUACCUGUGAAGAUUUUCAUCAAUAAGACUCUCUCAUUCUUCAUCUCCCUUGCUUAGACCAGAGUGUUGCCCCUGAUAUGAUUCACCUCUACUUGGUUGACUUGUCAUCUCUCGAAGACUGGUCGAAAGGUCUUUAUUUGGAACGUAAUGUGGGCUUUUGGAUAGGGUUAGAAAGAAAGGGCAUCAAAGGCUCGAAACAAUUCAAAUGGGUUCAAAAUUACAACUUUUAGAAUCAGAUUUCCUACAACAACCACAACUUCUGCCCCAGUUUCUUUGCUUGGGGUCUUUUGGAUUUUUAUUUUGAUAGGACCGAACCGUGAGGCCGCCUACGUAUCCUUAAAAGGAAUCAGGUCGAACGUAGUUCAUGUCAUAAAAAUAACUUUGUAGUUGUGAUUUUUCUUUUUCUUCCUCUUUCUCUUCUUUUCUUUUCUUUCUUAUUUUAUUAUUAAAAGAAAUCAGGUCGAACGUAGUUUAUGUCAUAGAAAUAACUUUGUUGUUGUGAUUUUCUUUUUCUUACUCUUUCUCUUCUUUUCUUUUAUUUCUUGUUUUGUUGUGUUCUUUUUCUUUUUCUUUUUCUUUUUCUUCUCUUUUCUUUUUAUUUUUCUUCUCUUUUCUUUUUUUUCUUCUUCUUUUUAUUCUCUCUCUUUUCGUUCUUUUUCUUUUCUCUUUUCCUUUUACUUAUCUUUCGCGCCUGCGCUGCUGAUUCGGAAAGAGGGGUAUGAAAGAAAAUAAAUAAGGCUCAAAGGGGUAACAAAUGAUAAAGUAUUUAGAUAGCAGAACAAAAUGUCUUUGCCAUUCCAAUCUCCAAAACAUGCCAAGUGCAAAUUACACGAUUAAACAAACCAAGGAAAAUAUUUGUAACAUCUUUUGAUUGUACCAGACUUGAUAACCAUAUCCACACAUUCGCUUUAUGUGUAUGUUAACUACAAAGUACCAUUGGACAAUACCCUCACUCUCAUUACCACGAACGGCCCCUGUCAAUUUGGGGCAAACUUGCCGUCAGUUUCAACUCGAUGUUGCAUGAUGUAUUUCAAUAGUGUCUCUUUAUGUUCUAUUUGCCCCAGUUUCACAUGGUUCGGGCUUCAAAUGAUCUCAAAAUGUCCAAAUAUGUUCUUAUUUCCCCCAAGUGCCCCUAUUAUUUUCCCAAUUGCUUCACCCUCUCUUUUUUUUGUUUUUUUCUUUCUUUUUUCAUUUUUUAAUUUGCCGUCAACUAUCAUUCGUCCGCCAAAUGACCCAUUUACCCUUGAAGAAAUGUGAAAUGUAGCACAUAGGAUGCAUCAGGAUGGUCUUUUCAUUUCAGGUGCACAUGUCCUAGACAGACCCAGCCCCUAUGUUGAGUCUCCAAAUUAAAAUCCACAUGAUGCAAACAAACGUUCCUACUGGGGAUCUGGCAUGAGGCUGAGUUAUUCUAGGUUCAAAACCUAGGUAUUUGUUCUAGACUUGUGUACCCGAGCGGACAACUCGAGCCGAUGAGGGGGCUGCGUACCAGGAACCAAAAGGCCAUCCGGCUUAGUAACUUGUCCGAGCCUCUUUCUUUUCAAGGUAUGACACUAACAGAAUAGGGAGUCUCGACCAGCGAGCACAUCCCCAAGGUCGAAUUCUGAACCCUGAACCAUGAGUUCUGGGUUCUUAUCCCCAGCAGAGUCACCAGAGCUAUCACACCUCCUUUUUCCUACCCCCGAGAGGGUAUACGAGAGUUUUUCCAAUUAAAUCGAGACAUGAUUUAUUUAUUUAAGAAAUUCAGAGUUGCCACUUGGGAUAAUUAAUGGUGUCCCAAGUCACCGGAUCAAAUCCCGAAUCGAGGAAAAGAUUGACUCUGUUUAACAGUCCACGAACCAGAAAUCCGAGUAAGGAAUUUUGUUAACCCGGGAGAAGGUGUUAGGCAUUCCCGACUUCUCUGAUUCUAGCACGGUCGCUCAACUGUUAUAAUUGGCUUAUUUACUUGAUUUUACUACAUGUUUAGCCUAUGGUGCAAUUUUUACUUUAUGUCCGCUUUUAUUCAAUUAUAUCUUUUUAUGAAGAUUUCAAUGUUAUUUAAAACAUAUCUUGAACCACGUCACAUAAAUGCACUCGCAGUCCGCAACACAUUUUAUCUAACGUUGAGAUUUGGAUUUGGGUCACAUAAAUGCGCACACAAGUUUAGGAAGGUGAAUUAUUGAAAUAACGCGUCUAAAGCAACUACGCGUUUUCAAGUUUGCGAGGGCCAUGGAAAGUUCGCUAAUGGCACACCUCGAUUAUUCUAAUCAAAGUGGAAAGUUCGCUAAUGACACACCUCGAUUAUUCUAAUCAAAGUUUCUACACUUAAUUUUGAAGGCCAUAGCUAUUGGUCUUGUUUGAAAUGGCGCACCUCGAUUAAUUAAAGGAAGUGCAUUUAACUAAGUGAACUAUGGAUAUUUAUUUUUACAACUAAUUUGAGAUCAAGUAUCAUAACCAUGGCAUGGGAACCAUACACGUUGUUGUGAUGAUUUAAUUACGUGCCUAAAGAAAAUUACGAAGGCUCAUACUUACUUCCUAAAACUAAUUUGAGAAUUGUUUUUAAUCGUAAACUCAGUGAGUCUGCUUAUACAUUCUACAUCAGGUUUUAAUAACAUAUCAGAGAAUCAAAAUAGAAAACAAACUACAUACAUAUUCAAGAUGCAAGUUGAAACCUAGACCAUAAACUACUACAGAUUGUUGUUACAAUAAACAAUUUGAAUCAAAAAAUCAGUAAACAUGUAACAUGAGAUGUCCAAAAAGGUGAUUCAUAACCAAAUCAGUUCCUUUCCUAUUCUUAAUCACCCCCAUGAAUAAGAUAAAUAAAAAAAUCAAGAAAUGAACCUGAACGAGAAACUUUGAUUAAUUAUGCCUGGAAUCUCUUCGAACGAGUACAGAAAUGAAAAAUAUGUCAGCUGAAUCAGCUACACAGCAACAGGAACGAUAUCGAGACUGCAAACCAAUGGUGAAUCUCAAACCGGUGACUGAAUGACAACCGCGUCGGAACCUUGAAACUUCGCCAAAACAAAACUCGAACGGCGAUCUCACAAACUCGAAUGAAGAAAUGAAGCAGGGGAAGUAAACAAGACUCACGAACGGGAUUCACGGUUGGACUCGUUGGUGGUUGUUGAUGGUGUGUUCUGGUUUUCGGCGACUGUCAUGUAGGGUUUGUAUGGCUGAUGGGUGGUGAACAGCGGGAGAUGGGGUUUAGCCGAGGAGGAAGAAGAAAGGUUUUUGGGUCCUCAUUCAAACGGCCGGUUCCUUUCAAAAUCCCAAACGGCUGAAGCUCCUUGAUCUAGGGUUCCACCAUUUUGUGUUGUUAGAUCUUUUAGUUAUAAAAGAGAAGAAGAAAACGGUUGAUCCCUUUCUGUUCCUAGGGUUUUUCUUUUAGGUUCAUGAGAAAUAAAGAGUCUUCUAAGGUGUAAACGGUUGAUGGUGUUUU